GCGAGCAGCAGUCGCAAGGUUGAUCCACUCGGCUGGUGUUAGAGAAGAAGGCUUCUUCGAUUUACUUCUUCAGCUAAUGUCGUUCGGGAAUAUCUUGCGACUGCAUUUGCUGCGAUGGCAUACCAGUUAUCAUUUGUUGGUCCUGGAUAACGAUUCCAACUACACUCUUCAUAUUUUUGGACCCCAAGGAACAGUGUUUAUAGGCAGAAGAUAUACGCAAUUCAAAAGGAACUUAAAAUGUACUGAUAAUUAAUCAGAUGGUUGUUGUGUCCAUGCAAUGUAUAUUCAUCAAAAUUCUGUAAUUUUAUAACAAAUUGCUUGUAUGAAAGUUUGUGAAAGAAAACAAUAAAACAGUGCUUGUUAUUGAA